AUUGAACGCUGGCGGCAUGCCUUACACAUGCAAGUCGAACGGCAGCACGGGGGCAACCCUGGUGGCGAGUGGCGGACGGGUGAGUAAUGCAUCGGAACGUGCCCUGAAGUGGGGGAUAACGCAGCGAAAGCUACGCUAAUACCGCAUAUUCUGUGAGCAGGAAAGCAGGGGAUCGCAAGACCUUGCGCUUUGGGAGCGGCCGAUGUCGGAUUAGCUAGUUGGUGGGUAAGGCCUACCAAGGCGACGAUCCGUAGCGGGUCUGAGAGGAUGAUCCGCCACACUGGGACUGAGACACGGCCCAGACUCCUACGGGAGGCAGCAGUGGGGAAUUUUGGACAAUGGGCGAAAGCCUGAUCCAGCCAUGCCGCGUGAGUGAAGAAGGCC
rnacentral:rRNA from 1 species